rnacentral:rRNA from 1 species
AUUGAACGCUGGCGGAAUGCUUUACACAUGCAAGUCGAGCGGCAGCGCGGGGCAACCUGGCGGCGAGCGGCGAACGGGUGAGUAAUACAUCGGAACGUACCCAGUUGUGGGGGAUAGCCCGGCGAAAGCCGGAUUAAUACCGCAUACGACCUGAGGGUGAAAGUGGGGGAUCGCAAGACCUCACGCAGUUGGAGCGGCCGAUGGCGGAUUAGCUAGUUGGUAGGGUAAAGGCCUACCAAGGCGACGAUCCGUAGCGGGUCUGAGAGGACGACCCGCCACACUGGAACUGAGACGCGGUCCAGACUCCUACGGGAGGCAGCAGUGGGAAUUUUGGACAAUGGGGGCAACCCUGAUCCAGCCAUUCCGCGUGAGUGAAGAAGGCUUCGGGUUGUAAAGCUCUUUCGGCAGGAACGAAACGGCGGGCUCUAACAUAGCCUGCUAAUGACGGUACCUGAAGAAGAAGCACCGGCUAACUAUGUGCCAGCAGCCGCAGUAA